rnacentral:rRNA from 1 species
CUAUGCGCCUUGCCAGCCCGCUCAGUCAGAGUUUGAUCCUGGCUCAGAAUGAACGCUGGCGGCAGGCCUAACACAUGCAAGUCGAACGGAGUUAUAUUGUAGCUUGCUAUGGUAUAACUUAGUGGCAGACGGGUGAGUAAUGUAUAGGAAUCUACCUAGUAGUACGGAAUAAUUGUUGGAAACGGCAACUAAUACCGUAUACGCCCUACGGGGGAAAAUUUAUUGCUAUUAGAUGAGCCUAUAUUAGAUUAGCUAGUUGGUGGAGUAAUAGCCUACCAAGGCAAUGAUCUAUAGCUGAUCUGAGAGGAUGAUCAGCCACACUGGAACUGAGAUACGGUCCAG